AGGAAAUGGAAGAGCCACCAGACGUAGAUAGAGGAGGUGGUGUCAUACGCAUACCAGAACUUCUACCAUUUGGCGUCGAAGUGGAGGACCCUGGUGGUGAAUCCUGGUUAUGUUUGCCCUAGCAACUUGACCAUAACAUUCAAGCUUCAAAGGGAUUCCAGUGCGGUAGACCUUAUGUAUGCAAUGACCUUGCUGCACCAAAACUUUGGAACCAGUACCAAAUGAUACCGAAACCUUAGAAAAUCCGGGAUGGUUUCCGGCGGGGGAUAGUUUUACCAAUGAGUUAAUUUAGUGUAUUUAAGCGUAUAGAGUGUAGUGAUUAUAGUAUCCUAGGUACAAUAAACUGCAUCUGGUUACAUACUAUGUUUUUUUAGAAAUGGAAAUUUUGUCAAUUUAUUGUAUUUGAUUGCUACAGUUGAACCUGCCUAAGUUGAAUCCAAAAUUCCAUUAAAAUAUUGAUCAACGUAGAUAAAAUUUGACCUACAGAUUGUUAAUUAAUGGAAAACAACAAUUUGGCAUGUAAAAUAAGAUCGACUUAGAACGAAUUAUAUGACUUACUGUAGGCAAGUUUAACUGUAUAUACAUAUAGGAGUGAAAGGUGAAAUUUUGCCCUCCCUGACAUGUUAUUGUACUGAAUACUCCCUACGUCCCCAAAUAGUUGCGAAAAACUUGCAAGUGAUUUGGAUUGGACUCAAACCCAUGACCUCCAGAUAACUAAUAUAUAUGUCUGUAGUAAACUUACUAAUGUGAUUAUCUAAAUUUUAUUUUAUCUCUUUUAGUAAAAUAAAUGUUAGGUCAAAAUAUUCUAAAAAUUGUAAAUGAUUGUGAAU